rnacentral:rRNA from 1 species
UACGGAGGGUGCAAGCGUUAUCCGGAUUUAUUGGGUUUAAAGGGUGCGUAGGCGGUUUUAUAAGUCAGUGGUGAAAUACAACAGCUUAACUGUUGAGGUGCCAUUGAUACGGUAAGACUUGAGUACAGACGAGGUAGGCGGAAUUGACGGUGUAGCGGUGAAAUGCUGAGAUAUCGGCAAGAACACCGAUAGCGAAGGCAGCUUACUAGACUGUAACUGACGCUGAGGCACGAAAGUGUGGGGAUCAAACAGG